GCGCAGGACCAGCUUCCGGGAGACGCUCCGUGCGUUCGCCGAUCUCUGCGGGGAAGAUGGGGAAAGUGAGGGGGCUGCGCGCCAGAGUGCACCAGGCUGCCGUGAGGCCCAAGGGGGAGGCCGCCCCCGGCCCCGCGCCUCCUGCUCCGGAGGCGGCCCCUCCGCCGGCCUCGGCCGCGGGGAAGGACUGGGCGUUCAUCAACACCAACAUCUUUGCCAGGACCAAGAUAGACCCCAGCGCCUUGGUGCAGAAGCUGGAGCUGGACGUGAGGAGUGUCACUUCCGUCAGGAGAGGUGCAGAGGCCAAGACCGUUUUGCCCAAGAAGGAGAAAAUGAAGCUGAGGCGUGAACAGUGGUUGCAGAAAAUCGAAGCCAUAAAACUGGCUGAGCAGAAGCACAGGGAGGAGCGGAGGCGGAGGGCCACGGUGGUGGUGGGGGACCUGCACCCGCUCAGGGACGCCCUGCCCGAGCUGCUGGGGCUCGAGGCUAGCAGCCGGCGCCAAGCCCGCAGCAGGGAGAGGGAGAGCAACAAGCCCCGGCCCUCAGAGCUCAGCCGGAUGAGCACAGCCCAAAGACGGCAGCUUCUUGAGGAAGAAAGGACCCGGUUUCGGGAGCUGCUGGCCAGUCCGGCCUACAGAGCCAGACCCCUGGUGGCCAUCGGGCAGACGCUGGCCCGGCAGAUGCAGCUGGAAGGUGGCGGCCAGCUCUGACCAGGACAGUGGGCGUGCCCCAACUCCUCAGGACACACGUGCGGGCCAGGUAGAAAGCGCCAGCCCCUCGAGGACCAUGAUCUGAGCCUGGUGGACACCCUUCCCUCUGAUGCAGAGGCGCCUGGGGCCUCAGAGUCCCUGCAAGGCCAUGGAGCAGAGGCCUGAUCUCCCGGCCACUUAGGACAAAAGGCCCUGAAGCCCUGAGUGGGGAAACUGAGGCCUGAGAGAGCCUCCCUCUCCAGCCAGCCAGGUGAUGGGCGCUGACAUUCAGGAGCACAGAGCUUCCGGCUGUCCCCUCCAUUCUCAAGAAGAAUGUGAGCGCCAUCCCAGCCCGGCGGUCAGUAACAUUCCAGGAGCUUUGGAGAGCGUCUCCGUUGCCAGUCAAGAGCCAGGCUCCACGCACCUCAGUCCAGAAGGACCGCUCAGCCUUGGGCUAAAAAAGGGAAAAACUGCAAGCAGACAGCGUCCGCAGCCGCGUCUCCAGGCCACGGCAGGCAGCAAGGCAGCUGUGAAUGGGAAGGGCAGAGGCGGCCAAAAGCUCAUGCCCUCACUGAUGCCGGUCCUGGCUGUGCUUUCCAGAAAUUAUCCCACACAGCUCCCUGCGUCUCACGGAUCAGGCGUCCUUAGCCUGCUGUGCGGGGGGUGGGGGACACUGAGACACAGAAGGCCAGGCCCCCCAGGCACCGAGCACAGCCCACGACCCAGAGCCGUGGAGUCACCCAGGCUGCACAGCUGGCGAGAGCAGCCCCAGAUGUGGCGGAGCCUCUGGAUUCAAGGCCAGAGUUCCUGCUACACCCCCGACCCUGGGCCUGCCACGGAACGUGUCAGGAGUCGUGCUCCCUGGGCUCCUCUUCCCCACAAAGCCCCUCAUGUAUGCAUGCAUGUGUGUGUGUGCACGUUGCCCUGUCUGAGCACUGAGGAUGCCUCCGCACAGGCAUCUGCUGCCACCACUACAUGGUCUCCCAGCGGCCAGUAUGAGGAGGGCAGAGGCCACCGUCUCUGGCCCAGCAGGAUGAGGGCGCCAUGACCCCUGAGGGGUGAGCAGAGCGGGGUCUGUGUGCCUCGUGGCCCCUGGGGAAUGGGCAGAGCAGGGUCUGUGUAUAGGGUUCCUUGCUGGGCACGUGGCCAGCACUGCAGGAGCUGGCAUUGUGGCAGCCCGGACGCCCUGACCCCGGGUAGAUGUUUUUGGUGCAGCCCCACCCACGUGGCCUUAGGGUAACCCGUGUGACCACAGCCCACAGCAGGCACAAGGGAGGCCACUUCCAGACCUAGGGGGUUAGACUGUGGCUUCUGGCACCUGGAGGAGACUUGGCAGCCUGGGGGUGCCACGUGGUCGGGCUGAGGCCUCCCCACAGCCCCGUGAGCCCCGUCCUGGACAUGGGACUGCCUGUGGCUGCCACCUGAGCUGCAGCCACCAGCCACGCUGCCCCAGAGAUGGGGGAGCUAACACGUGGAGGCCUUUUUAAACUGCUAAGUUUUGGGGUUAUUUGCUACGUGGCUAUAGAUGUCUGAUACGCCGUGGGGUGUGCCCUGAAUGUGGGGUUUGGUUGGCUCUAGGUUAGUGUCAAGCUUUGGGCAGCCAGGGCGCCAAAGCCCCCACCCCUGCCGACUGUGGCCGUGCACCUGCAGGACCAUUCCACUGCUGUGUGGGCCUCGCCUCUGGACACAGGCCCCAGGACCCCGCCACUGAGGCUGGCCUGGCUCCGUGUCCUCCCACCCACUCCCGUUCAGUGCUGCCAGGCGCCGUGCCAUCUGCUGCCCACCAGGACCUGGCUCCUGGCAGGCCUUAGCCCCCUCCCCAUCUCCCUUCCCCCUCCCUGAUCGCCCAUGGGCCCAGCCUGCUGAGGGUGACUUCUUCACACCCAGACUCUGGGCUCCAGUUCCUCACCCCAUCCCUGAGACUUCCUCCUGGUCACACCUUCCUUCCAGCAGUGCUCCCAACACACAUGGCCGUUCCUGGGGAGUCUUCCAGGCAGCCCUGCCCACCAUCUCCACCCACCUCCUUCCCACCUGCUCACCACAAGGUCCUGUUCCCAGCAUACGGCCCUGCUGCUGGCCUGGGAGGAGACCUGACGCCUCCAGGGCCACUGUCAGCCUCCCCGGGACACACUGCUGCCGGGACACACUGCUGCUGGCCUCCCUUUGGAGUCCACCCUCGUCCUGUCCCCACCUGCCCCGUCCCCACCUGUCCUGUCUCCACCUGCCCCGUCCCCACCUGUCCUGCCCCCACCUGCACUAUCCUCCCACCUGUCCUGAUUCUGGUGAGCCUGUCAGGUGACAAACCCUGGCUGUCUCCUCCAUGGGGCACCUGGUGAAGCUGAGGGAGGACUCUGGGGCUGGGACUCAGUUUCCCCUCCUAGGGGCCACAAACUGGUCUGGAUAUUACAUUCAUGGGGCUGCUGAGGGAGGACAGGUCGAGGGCACCAUCUAGGGUUAGUCUUGGUCGGCUGGCAGAGGGCUGACCCAGGGAGCCCCGUCCCUCCCUGAGGGCCCCGCCUGCCCAGUACCGUGGCCCAUGGCCCGGGUUUGGCCUGUCCACCAGAUCCAGUCCUUUGGCACCCGUGUCCCUAGGGCCCUGGGCUGUGAGGAGGCGUGAAGGGGAAGGAAGGACAUUUGGAGGGGGGGCUGUCACACAUGGGAGCAUCGCUGUUGGAGAAGGUUUCCUAUAAAUGCCACUGUGUUCAUGGAUGUUCUAAAUGGAACUGCCAGCUGGCUUUUGGUUUGUGAGUCUUCAUUAAAGAUUACAUUUCUGUUCAGUUAUUUAUUA